ACAACGCUGGCGGCGUGCUUUAACACAUGCAAGUCGAACGAUGAAGCCCAGCUUGCUGGGUGGAUUAGUGGCGAACGGGUGAGUAACACGUGGGUGAUCUGCCCUGCACUCUGGGAUAAGCCUGGGAAACUGGGUCUAAUACCGGAUAUGACCUCUUGCUGCAUGGCGAGGGGUGGAAAGUUUUUCGGUGCAGGAUGAGCCCGCGGCCUAUCAGCUUGUUGGUGGGGUAAUGGCCUACCAAGGCGACGACGGGUAGCCGGCCUGAGAGGGCGACCGGCCACACUGGGACUGAGACACGGCCCAGACUCCUACGGGAGGCAGCAGUGGGGAAUAUUGCACAAUGGGCGAAAGCCUGAUGCAGCGACGCCGCGUGAGGGAUGACGGCCUUCGGGUUGUAAACCUCUUUCAGCAGGGACGAAGCGAAAGUGACGGUACCUGCAGAAGAAGCACCGGCCAACUACGUG
rnacentral:rRNA from 1 species